rnacentral:lncRNA from 1 species
CGCCUUGUCGGACCCCUGAGAAGCCCCCACCGCCUCCGUGCUCCUACUGCGGCCGCCAGCGCCGGGCCCGCAGUGAGGAGGAGAACCUCAUUUUCCUCAACACAGAUCUAAGGGGACACCGCCUCACUUUGAGACAACUUGAGGCUGCGUCAGUGCUCUUUCUCUUCAAACUUCUUUAACAUGCCUUGGCUUAGUUGUUCUGCUUGAUUUUCCAAAAGAAGAACCUUCUCUGGAUAAGGCAGAGGAUAGUGAAGGGAGGAUUUAACCUUGUACUGUUGUUAUACAAUUCAAUAUUGAAGCGAGAGAUUCUCCAGAACUUGCCCAGAAGCCAAGACGUCUGGAAAGGAUCUCAGCCUCUGUCAGCCUGCAGCUUGGGAAGAGUGAUUCACAGAGCCUGACUGUCCACUGCUGCUAAACCAUACACUGGCCUUGGCUCACACAUCUGACUGAACUGUCUCCUAUGACUAACUGCCUCUCUUUCUUCAGCCUUGCAAGUUUCCUGGGAGUCCUGGGAGUGGACUUCACAUAUAAAAGGGGACUCUGGGAGACCUAGUUCCUGGCUUCUCUUCUGGAAGUCAGGGAAGAGUAUAGGAAGGAGUGGCCACAGUGCCCAACUGACAAUUGACAAUUUCACCAAAGAUCAUCAUUGACCCUGACAAGACUCAUUUCGGUAUAUAAUAUGGGAAAAGAAACCAGACUGCAACAGGCUGAGAAUGACCCAGGGAAGAGAAAACGGAGAAAUUAACUGCAGCUGAGUUUCUGGAGGACUGCAAUUUAGUAUGUUCAAAGAAUAGUCCAAGAAGCCGCUCCGGACCCUCAGCAUUAAGACGAAGGAGGGGGCAAACAGAUUUUUUAAGGCGCUCCAAGUUCUCAGAUUUCAGGUGAGGAACUUCAAGGCCUUUUCAAAGUCUGAGGUUUUCUGAGUUUGUAAAAGAGAAACGGCUAAGUUACAAGAAAAAUCAUUACGUAUAAAUUUGACUUAUAUAAAAUAUUCAACUAUUCACUCAGGCAUCAGCAAAUAUUUGUUUUAGCACAACAAACAGCACACAUGAGUUGAAAUAUGGUGGACAGAAAACAAACCUAAAGAAAUCCUGUAGCACCUAAAAAGAGAAUGACACGACAUUACUUCAUGAAACAGAGCCAGGGGUCAAAAGCAGUAGUGGCCCACGGGUGCGCAGUAUGUGCUUUGUUUUUCAAAAACAUUUUUUGCCUAUUUCCUUUUAUUCCCACAAUAUCCCUAAGAAGUAGAGCGCCCCCCGUGCCCCAACCUUCAUUCUGCAGAGGCAGAAAGACAUUGGAUCCCUUGCUGAUGGUGGUCCCUGGUGGUCCCUCCUCAGCAGGCAGGCUGACUGUACUCUUAGCAUCCAGCUGGGUUUAGCCAGUGGAGGAGAUCGGCAGGCAAGAAACAGAAAGAGAGAGGCUAGGGUACUUGUGCUCCCCCUGCCUGGUUCCUCAGGCUGCUGCUCUGGCAGUGGCUGCAUUCUGUGAUGGCCACAGCAGGUCUGGAAGGGAGUGGCUCCUCCAGCAGUAUUCCAGCCCCCUCCUCCCAGCUCUG